CAAUACAGAGCGGCGCACGGGAGAGUAAUACAUGGGAACCUACCUAUUGGUUCGGGAUAACGUCGGGAAACUGACGCUAAUACCGAAUAAGUCCUUCGGGAGAAAGAUUUAUCGCCGAUAGACGGGCCCAUGUUGGAUUAGCUAGUUGGUGAGGUAACGGCUCACCGAGGCUACGAUCCAUAGCGGGUCUGAGAGGAUGAUCCGCCUCACUGGGACUGAGACACGGCCCAGACUCCUACGGGAGGCAGCAGUGGGGAAUAUUGGACAAUGGGGGCAACCCUGAUCCAGCCAUGCCGCGUGAGUGAUGAAGGCCUUCGGGUUGUAAAGCUCUUUUGGUGGGGACGAUGAUGACGGUACCCACAGAAUAAGCCCCGGCUAACUUCGUGCCAGCAGCCGCGGUAAUACGAAGGGGGCUA
rnacentral:rRNA from 1 species